GUUUCCUUCAUUUUGACCUAUAUGGGUAAAUAGAAAUGGAACUUGAAAUCAAACAUGGCUGGUGCUCGCUGCUUAAAACUGCACACACUCAAUCAGUUCUUUGUGGGCACUCUGGUUUCUUCCUUGUGAAAGUUUCCCAAAGGUGAAGAAUUCAAAAACAUCUUUAUACGAAAGUACUGUUGGAGACAACAAGGAAAUAUACAUGUACUGAACUACCUCCCCAAAUUAUUUGGUCAGAUUUCUUUGAUACUGCACAAGAUUCAUCUGUUAGCUUGCACCACUAGGCUCCCUUAAUUUGGGACUUCUAUGAUAAAAGGUUCUCUCAACAGAUUAGGGUUAGGUUUAUGGUUAGGGUAAGGGCUAGGUUUAAACCUAGUGUUGGGGUUAGAGUCAAUUGUGUUCAUGUAUCUUUGAUGCUGUGCAGGAUUCAUCUUUUACCUAGCCUCACAAUGUUCCCUGGUUUGGGCCUUCUUGUUCAACGGUUUGCUGUAAGGAACGGUUUGUAUUUUAAGGUUUCACUUUAUUUUGAAGUAUUUUGUUGAAGAGAAAUGGAGCACAAAAUCAAA
rnacentral:lncRNA from 1 species